rnacentral:tRNA from 1 species
UCUUUUUUAUCGUUUUGGCGGCAUGGCCGAGCGGUAAGGCGGGGGACUGCAAAUCCUUUUUCCCCAGUUCA